rnacentral:rRNA from 1 species
GACAGAGGGUGCAAACGUUGUUCGGAAUUACUGGGCGUAAAGCGUGUGUAGGCGGCCAUGUAAGUCGGGUGUGAAAGCCCCGGGCUUAACCCGGGAAGUGCACUCGAUACUGCGUGGCUAGAGUAUCGGAGAGGUUGGUGGAAUUCUCGGUGUAGAGGUGAAAUUCGUAGAUAUCGAGAGGAACACCGGUGGCGAAGGCGGCCAACUGGACGAAUACUGACGCUGAGACACGAAAGCGUGGGGAGCAAACAGG